GUGAACUCGAAGAGUAGGGCGGGACACGUGGUAUCCUGUCUGAAUAUGGGGGGACCAUCCUCCAAGGCUAAAUACUCCUGACUGACCGAUAGUGAACCAGUACCGUGAGGGAAAGGCGAAAAGAACCCCGGCGAGGGGAGUGAAAAAGAACCUGAAACCGUGUACGUACAAGCAGUGGGAGCACCUUCGGGUGUGACUGCGUACCUUUUGUAUAAUGGGUCAGCGACUUAUAUUCUGUAGCAAGGUUAACCGUAUAGGGGAGCCGCAGGGAAACCGAGUCUUAACUGGGCGUUAAGUUGCAGGGUAUAGACCCGAAACCCGGUGAUCUAGCCAUGGGCAGGUUGAAGGUUGGGUAACACUAACUGGAGGACCGAACCGACUAAUGUUGAAAAAUUAGCGGAUGACUUGUGGCUGGGGGUGAAAGGCCAAUCAAACCGGGAGAUAGCUGGUUCUCCCCGAAAGCUAUUUAGGUAGCGCCUCGUGAACUCAUCUUCGGGGGUAGAGCACUGUUUCGGCUAGGGGGUCAUCCCGACUUACCAACCCGAUGCAAACUACGAAUACCGAAGAAUGUUAUCACGGGAGACACACGGCGGGUGCUAACGUCCGUCGUGAAGAGGGAAACAACCCAGACCGCCAGCUAAGGUCCCAAAGUCAUGGUUAAGUGGGAAACGAUGUGGGAAGGCACAGACAGCCAGGAUGUUGGCUUAGAAGCAGCCAUCAUUUAAAGAAAGCGUAAUAGCUCACUGGUCGAGUCGGCCUGCGCGGAAGAUGUAACGGGGCUAAACCAUGCACCGAAGCUGCGGCAGCGACACUAUGUGUUGUUGGGUAGGGGAGCGUUCUGUAAGCCUGCGAAGGUGUGCUGUGAGGCAUGCUGGAGGUAUCAGAAGUGCGAAUGCUGACAUAAGUAACGAUAAAGCGGGUGAAAAGCCCGCUCGCCGGAAGACCAAGGGUUCCUGUCCAACGUUAAUCGGGGCAGGGUGAGUCGACCCCUAAGGCGAGGCCGAAAGGCGUAGUCGAUGGGAAACAGGUUAAUAUUCCUGUACUUGGUGUUACUGCGAAGGGGGGACGGAGAAGGCUAUGUUAGCCGGGCGACGGUUGUCCCGGUUUAAGCAUGUAGGCUGNUCCAGGCAAAUCCGGAUAAUCAAGGCUGAGGUGUGAUGACGAGGCACUACGGUGCUGAAGUAACAAAUGCCCUGCUUCCAGGAAAAGCCUCUAAGCAUCAGGUAACAUCAAAUCGUACCCCAAACCGACACAGGUGGUCAGGUAGAGAAUACCAAGGCGCUUGAGAGAACUCGGGUGAAGGAACUAGGCAAAAUGGUGCCGUAACUUCGGGAGAAGGCACGCUGGUGUGUAGGUGAAGUCCCUGCGGAUGGAGCUGAGACCAGUCGAAGAUACCAGCUGGCUGCAACUGUUUAUUAAAAACACAGCACUGUGCAAACACGAAAGUGGACGUAUACGGUGUGACGCCUGCCCGGUGCCGGAAGGUUAAUUGAUGGGGUUAUCCGUAAGGAGAAGCUCUUGAUCGAAGCCCCGGUAAACGGCGGCCGUAACUAUAACGGUCCUAAGGUAGCGAAAUUCCUUGUCGGGUAAGUUCCGACCUGCACGAAUGGCGUAAUGAUGGCCAGGCUGUCUCCACCCGAGACUCAGUGAAAUUGAACUCGCUGUGAAGAUGCAGUGUACCCGCGGCAAGACGGAAAGACCCCGUGAACCUUUACUAUAGCUUGACACUGAACAUUGAGCCUUGAUGUGUAGGAUAGGUGGGAGGCUUUGAAGCGUGGACGCCAGUCUGCGUGGAGCCAACCUUGAAAUACCACCCUUUAAUGUUUGAUGUUCUAACGUUGGCCCCUGACCGGGGUUGCGGACAGUGUCUGGUGGGUAGUUUGACUGGGGCGGUCUCCUCCCAAAGCGUAACGGAGGAGCACGAAGGUUAGCUAAUCCUGGUCGGACAUCAGGAGGUUAGUGCAAUGGCAUAAGCUAGCUUGACUGCGAGCGUGACGGCGCGAGCAGGUGCGAAAGCAGGUCAUAGUGAUCCGGUGGUUCUGAAUGGAAGGGCCAUCGCUCAACGGAUAAAAGGUACUCCGGGGAUAACAGGCUGAUACCGCCCAAGAGUUCAUAUCGACGGCGGUGUUUGGCACCUCGAUGUCGGCUCAUCACAUCCUGGGGCUGAAGUAGGUCCCAAGGGUAUGGCUGUUCGCCAUUUAAAGUGGUACGCGAGCUGGGUUUAGAACGUCGUGAGACAGUUCGGUCCCUAUCUGCCGUGGGCGCUGGAGAAUUGAGGGGGGCUGCUCCUAGUACGAGAGGACCGGAGUGGACGCAUCACUGGUGUUCGGGUUGUCAUGCCAAUGGCACUGCCCGGUAGCUAAAUGCGGAAGAGAUAAGUGCUGAAAGCAUCUAAGCACGAAACUUGCCCCGAGAUGAGUUCUCCCUGAGACUNNNNNNNNNNNNNNNGACGUUGAUAGGCCGGGUGUGUAAGCGCAGCGAUGCGUUGAGCUAACCGGUACUAAUGAACCGUGAGGCUUAACCUU
rnacentral:rRNA from 1 species